GACGAACGCUGGCGGCGUGCUUAACACAUGCAAGUCGAACGGGCCCGCCCCUGUUUUUGGGGGUGGGUUGAGUGGCGAACGGGUGAGUAACACGUGAGUAACCUGCCCCCUGCUCCUGGAUAACUGCUUGAAAGGGCGGCUAAUACGGGGUGUGCCGGCUGGUCCGCAUGGGCCUGGUCGGGAUAGUUUCAUCGUCGGGUGUUUCGGUGGGGGAUGGGCUCGCGGCCUAUCAGCUUGUUGGUGGGGUGCUGGCCCACCAAGGCGGUGACGGGUAGCCGGCCUGGGUGGUUGGGCGCCCACACUGGGACUGAGACACGGCCCAGACUCCGGCGGGAGCCAGCAGUGGGGGGUCUUGCACAAUGGGCGGAUGCCUGAUGCAGCGACGUCGCGUGAGGGAUGGAUGCCUUCGGGUGGUGAACCUCUUUCUCCGGUGGUGAAGGCCCUGUCCGUUGCGGCGGGGUUGACGGUAGCCGGGUAUGAAGCGCCGGCUAACUACGUG
rnacentral:rRNA from 1 species